rnacentral:lncRNA from 1 species
CCGGUUUCGGCCCCGCCCCCACUGUCCCUAACUCCACCUCCCGCAGCCAUCUCCAGGCGUACGUCUGCACGCUGGCACGCAGAUCCCAGCGCAUGCGCAGCGGAAACUGGACAGCCUCUGGAAAUCUUUGAAUGUUUAGGGUCAAGUGUAAGGUAUUUCUAACUUCAGUAAGAGUUUGGCCUUGCCAAGAAAGGCAUUCACAGGAAUAGUUAACAAAGCAGACCCAUUUCAGUAAUGAUACUUAGCCAUUGGAGUGGCUGUUAUAAAAAAUGUGGAAAAUAUCGGUGAAGAUGAGAAGAAAAUGAAGCUCUUGUGCAUUGCUGAAGGGAACAUCAAAUAUGACAGCAGUGGAAAGAGUUCCGUGGUUCUACAGAAAGUAAAACAUGGAAAUAUCAUAUGAUCGAGCAAUUCUGCCUCUGAAUAUAUCCCCAAAGAAAUGAAAAAGGGACUCAAACAGAUCAUAGCAGUGUUAUUCACAAUAGCCAAAAGAUAGAAAGAAACCAGAUGUCCAUCUACAGAUGAAUGAAACAGAUAUAACAUGAAAUAUACAUAUAUAUAUAUAUAUAUAUGUAUGAAUUUACAAGAUUGGCUUACAAUGGCCACUCACAGAGUCAGAUGUAGAAGAGUGCAGAGGAUUUGUCUGCACACUGGAGACCGAAGGAUUCAGUUGGAGGUCUGGAGCUCACUGCAGAGUCGGUAUCAAGAGGCUGAUGGGUCUGUGAUGGAAGGCUGAAGAGUUUACAUGGGAAGGCUGCAAAGUCUGAGCUGGAAGCUGAAGAGUCUGCACUGGAAGCCAGGAGAUGACGUCCAAAAUGAGGGCGAAGCCUGGAGCUCCUCCAAGGAAACAAGCAGAUUGAUCCUUCUCCAUCUCCCCUUUACACCGUCCGGCGACAGCCACCCUAGGAUGGAUCUUCCACACCCUAGGGUGUGUAAUUGAGCCCAUUUAGCUGAGCUUCUCUUACUCAACUUGAUGCAAUCAAUCAACUGUCACGUGUAUAUUUUGCUGCAAUUCUGAAACAAUAAAAAGUGAGAAAGGCUGCCCGUGAAGUAUGCUGAUGCUUGCUGCUAAUCAAGUAUAAUCCCAAGAAAACCAGAAAAGCUACAUCUCUUCCCUGGCAAGAGCAUGAACUAAUCAUCACACUUGGAACUUGAGAUGAUCAGGGUGCCACGGUAGCCCUUGGGAUGAACUUUAUCCCCAGCUCACCAAGCGUUUGUUUCCUGCCUCCUAAGGUUAAUACAGACGACUACUUUCCUUGAGGGAAAUACUUUUUAGCUUCAGAUUAAGAAAGAUACCUUGAACGAAUGAAAACACACUUUAUCUGCUGUAACUCUGUGCAAUAAGGUAACGAGAGUCCGUGACUGUACAUGCUGUACUUUGUGAAGCAGAAACAUCUUUUUGUCACCUCUGCCUUCCAAAUGUGUGCUCUCUCAUUCCACCAGAGAUUUACCUCUCUGCAAGAAAUGUCCCCUCCAACUUGCUACCUCAGGAAGUCCCUCCCAUCCUGUAAGUAAAGCUUUGCAGGAGUAGGACGUCCUCCUUUGCUCUCACAUUUGUAACAGAGAUCUCACAAGUGGUUUAUGUGAUGACUGCACAACGCGAUGGAGAAGAGAUCAUGGGCACACAGAGCACCCGGACUCAAGGGAGAGCAGCCCGCUCUGUGACCUGGACAGGGAC